rnacentral:rRNA from 1 species
AACGAACGCUGGCGGCGUGCUUAACACAUGCCAGUCGAACGGCAAGGCCCUGCUUUUGUGGUGUUCUCGAGUGCCGAUCGGGUGCGUAACACGUGAAUAACCUGCCCUUGACUUUGGUGUAACUUCAGGAAACUGGGGCUAAUACCGGAUAGGAUCUCCUGCUGCAUGGAGGGGGUUGGAUCGUUUCGGCGGUUGGGGAUGGACUCGCGGCUUAUCAGCUUGUUGGUGGGGGAGUGGCUUGCCAAGGCUUUGACGGGUAGCCGGCCUGAGAGGGGGACCGGCCACAAGGGGACUGAGAGAGGGCGCAGACUCGUACGGGAGGCAGUAGGGGGGAAUAUGGCACAAUGGGAGGAAGCCUGAGGCAGAAACGCCGGGGGCGGGAUGACGGCCUGCGGGUUGUAAACCGCUGUCGCCUGUGACGAAGCGUGAGUGACGGUAAUGGGUAAAGAAGCACCGGCUAACUACGUG